AUUGAACGCUGGCGGCAUGCCUUACACAUGCAAGUCGAACGGCAGCACGGGUGCUUGCACCUGGUGGCGAUUGGGGAACGGGGGAGUAAUACAUCUGGAUAUGUCCCGUAUUGGGGGAUAGCCCGUCGAAAGCCCGAUUGAUACUACAGACGAAUUACGUAUAAAAGAGGGGGCCCUAGUGGCCGCGGGCUUUAGGGUUGGCCGUAGACGGAUUAGCGAGGUGGUGGGGUAACGGCCUACCAAGGCCACGACCAGUAGCCGGUCUGAGAGGGUGAUCAGCCACACUGGAACUGAGACACGGUCCAGACUCCGACGGGAGGCAGCAGUAGGGAAUCGUGCGCAAUGGGCGAAAGCCUGACGGAGCAACGCCGCGUGAGUGAAGAAGGUCUUCGGAUCGUAAAACGCUGUUAUUAGGGAAGAACAAAUGGAUAAGAAACUAGGCACGUCUUGACGGUACCUAAUCAGAAAGCCACGGCUAACUACGUG
rnacentral:rRNA from 1 species